CUGAAAAAUGUCAAUUCAAGGAGGAUUUUAUUCUAGAUUUAUAUUGUUUUUUAAAAAUAAUUACAAAUUAUGGAUUCAGGAAAAAUUGAUUUUCCUGUUUUCCUGCCGUCUUUUUUGUUUUCCAGUCAUAAUUCAUUUUUUUAUGAGCCUGCUAUUGUACUCUGUAUGAUGGAAUAUAUAUUUACUUUAGUAGAUUUCUUCUUUGUAGGGGCCCUUCCAAUAUUGGCAUAACUAUACUUUUCCCCCAUUAUGCAAUGUCAGUUUUUAUUUGAUCACUCAUUUAUAGCAGUUGAUUAAAUGUAUGCUUUUAUGUGAUGGUGCUUUAAUAUUUAAAAACAAAAUGUUUCUAAUAAGCUGCCAGUUUUCUAGUAAAAGCAAGUUUAUUUGAUCAAUUCAUACGGAAAUUGAGUUAUAGUGCUUCUAUAGUUAGUUGAUUUUUAUUUAUUUAUUUACUUUUAGCUAUCUUAGCUAUUGGGGUUAUUUUGUAUAAGAAAGCCUAAUGCUUUCUGUUAAUAGCUGACUUUUCUCUCAUUUGACUUUGAAAUCUGACUUAAGCCUCAGACUCUCCUAGAAAAAAAGUUAACAUGGACCUUGAAUUACUUGUUUUAAAUUCCAAAAGAAAAGGAACAUAAUUUCAUUCCUAGCUUAAAAUCAUUUAAUAAUCUUGAAACUCAUUACAUCAUUUGCCUCCUGCCCAUUUGGAUAAUCAUACCUACAUUUAUUAAUUGUAUAUUUGUAAAGCCUUUCCAGUCAAUACUUGCUAUAAGGCUAUUACUUGUCAAAUAUAAAAACUUCUAAAUAUGUUAAAACUUUGUUUUGAUUUCUCAAAAAUUUAUUACACUCAGUUACCCAGCGUUUUUCAAAUCAGCUGUGGUAUAUGAAAGAAAUGUUAAUGUUCAUGUUGUUCAUUUUUAUAUGAAAUAUCAGGUGAGCAGCUAAGAAAAAGCCUUAUAGAAAGAGUUUACUGGACUUACAAGUGUGUUUGUUUUUCUAAGAAUGGGAGCUUCUGUUAACUUAAUUGCCCUGAGAAAACCUAUGGUUUGGGUAGACUGGCUAGAGAACCCAAAUCCACCAAUCAGGCAUGCUCAAUUUUAAGUUUGCAUUCAAAGUCUUAAGUUUUCUUUAUUUUUAUUUAGUGAAAAUGUAAGCUCUUUAAAAAGUGCAUAUUUAACAUUUAAUUUGAAGCAGUUACUAUUAAUAUUCUUAGUUUUUUUUCUUCUUUUCAAGUAUACAUAGUUUUUUUUUUUUUAAUUUAGAAGUUACCAGAAGCUCUGGGGUUUUUUGUUUUUCAAUCAUUUUCAGAUGUUAUCCAGAAAUCUGCAAGUGUACUUUUCAUGUUUUAACUCCUUCCUUUUAUCACCUGACUAUCAGGGAAGCGAGGUUGAGGCUGCCCUGACCUGACAUGUCAUGAUGUCGACUUGCUAGGUGGGGUUCGCUGGGGACGAUAACCAGUGGAAUUGUUGACUUAGUGACUGAUGCUGAAAUGGAAACCAGCCACUGCAGAAAUUUUGAGAAAUAAAUGAAUAUGAAGACUUCAAAGGGAAGUAGGAACUCAUUUCUAGCAUUCCUAAACCUGCUUUGUCAUGUUUGCACCACUGCAGUCAGAGGAAAAGAACUGAAUUUGUGGAAAUACCAACUAAGCCUGGCUACCUAACAUUUUAAAGAAAUACACUGAAAAGGUAAGUGAAGUGUAUGUUCUGGAGAAAGACAUAUUUUUAAAAUAAGUUGUUACAUUUUAGUAGAGAUGGACAACUUUUAUUCUGAAUUUCAGAAAGGCCUCAUUAUCUUGGAGUAGAUUAAUUGUUAACAACCAACAUGGAGCCUCAAAUGUUAUGUUGUUUUAAUUUUAUCCUUCUCUUAUCUAGAGAAUGACUAAGCAUUUCAACUACACUUGACUGUUAAGUAGUCAAGUAAAAAUAUGGGUUUUUGUAAAGAGUGACUUUAAGCAUUUCAACUACACUUGACUGUUAAGUAGUCAAGUAAAAAUAUGGGUUUUUGUAAGUUUCUGUUUCCAUUCACCUAUUUUUGUUUCUUGAUAAUGUUUUGAAGUACUAGAAUUGUUCACAUCCAUCAUAUACCUAUAAUAUACCUCAAUCUGGCCCUGUACUAAAAAUAAACUAGCACUAUUCAUCUCGAGUUUACUUUUAUCGACACUUGGAAUUCUAGACUAGAGAGACAAUAUAAUAAAAUGGGGCUAAUUCCAUUUCUCCAUUAAUAAACUACAAUGUUAAUCUGUACAUGGAAAAUUUAAUUUGAAUAUCUUGUUUAUGUGCACUUACAUAUGAGAUACUUUUGCUAAGCACUUCCUAUGUGCAGGGUAUUUCCUAUAUGCUAAGCACUUUUUUUUUUAAAGACUAUUUAUUUAACUUAGGAGGCGAGAGAGAACCAGUUUUCAGUCUGGUGUUAUGUGCUGCUGGGGAUCGAACUCGGGGCCUUAUGUUUGAGAGUCCAGUGCUUUUUCUGCUAUGUCACCUCCCAGACCACAUGCUAAGCACUUUCUAAGCACGUGUAUAAUAUGUAUGAUUGUUAGGAAAUAACUGCUAUUAAUGCCUGUUUGCGUUAUUAAGGUAUGGAAGUUAACUUGCACAACUGUGAGAGAGGACUAAUUUUUAAACUCAUACAGGCUGAUUUCAAAGAUUAUAUUCUUAAUUUAGGUAUCAUGUUAUAGGCAGUAUCAUGAUAUAUUCCAAAUUCUUAAUGAGAUUUACCGAGUAUUAAUGAAGAAAAAUUAGAAUAGCAUAGAUAGGUUAUAGUGUGAUAGUAGGACCUUUUUGAGUAAAAUUCCUUUAAACUCUUGCCUCUAAGACAAGUCAUUUUUCAUAAUGACUUCAUCCUUCCCAUACAUGCACUCUACCCAUGCACAGAAUGCAUAUGUACUGUAUUACUUAUUUCUUACUUUGUGUUGCCAAGGCCUUGUGCAUGGGCUAUUUCAUUGCUGAGUCACUUUUCAUUCAUAUAUAUAUAUAUGUAUAUAUAUAUAUAGAGAGAGAGAGAGAGAGAGAGAGAUUUCCCAGAACCAGAGAUCUCCAAUGCUGACAUAUCUCCUAUAUGGUGCCAGGUCUAAAGCCUAAGCUGCAUUUAUAGCAAUUCAUAUGUCCUACCAAUGGUCUCUCUCCUGCUCUACACAAUUUGAAGAUCUACAACAGAGGAGUAGAGUUGAUCAUGGUAUGCUUUCUCUUUAGUCCAUAUUGUCCCUCAGGUCCACCUCUCUUUAUUUUUGAAAUAUGGACAUUUUCUUUAGCUAUUAAAUUAUGAAAACCAAGAGUUUUCUAGGAUUCUUUAAAAGGUAGAGUAGUUUCUGUGCAGAGGUAAUGCAAAAAUGCCCUAGGAAUUCCAGGUAGGUAAUAUAAUUCCUAUUGUAUACAUAGUUUAUUUGAAAUUUCUGUACCUUUUUACAUAUUGUUUUAUACUUCUGUAAAUAUGAUUUGACCUUUAAUAAACUAUUUUCUGAAGUGA